UACGUAGGGUGCAAGCGUUAAUCGGAAUUACUGGGCGUAAAGCGUGCGCAGGCGGUUUGGUAAGUCUGUCGUGAAAGCCCCGGGCUCAACCUGGGAAUUGCGAUGGAGACUGCAAGGCUUGAAUCUGGCAGAGGGGGGUAGAAUUCCACGUGUAGCAGUGAAAUGCGUAGAGAUGUGGAGGAACACCGAUGGCGAAGGCAGCCCCCUGGGUCAAGAUUGACGCUCAUGCACGAAAGCGUGGGGAGCAAACAGG
rnacentral:rRNA from 1 species